CCACAUAUCCAGCUCUCUCUCUCUCUUCUUUCUUUUUAUUUCUUUCUUCCUCUUUCUCUCUCUAGGCUAGUGGAGGUUUGGUUCAAGAAGUGGACAGCUUGCGUUUUGGGCUUGGUGGAGCUGCCGAAUUGGAAACGCUGCUAUGAAAGCUUCGAAACCUGAGCGGCUGCCUUGAUGAGUUUUGGGCACUCGAAUUGGAGAAGGGAACUUGAUGGAGCUUUUUGGUGAGCCGAAUUGAGAAGGACCUGAGAGGAAAGCUUCAUAGGAGGGGCUGUGAAGCAAACAUAAACGGAAUUUCAGCAUAAAUACCCUGCUGUUGGAGCUGAAAGAAAGCUUGUUGAAGCUGCAAAUUGAGGUUUGUAGCGGCUGCACAAAGAGGAAGUAAAGUGCAGAAUUUCCGCAAAGUGUAGAAAUUUCAACAUAGUGCAGAUUUUGAGGUUGAGUGGAAAAAGAAGCUUUAAAGUAAAAUUCCUCGCUGAUUGGAGCUGAAGGUUAGACGUGUUCGGAAGUUUAAAUUAACAUUCCGAUAGAUCUACGGCGCACUAGUUACGGUAGAAGCCGUUCUAACUCUAUUUGCACCGAGUCGCGAGAGCUCGUUGUUGAUACAGUUUAAGACGUUGGUUCUAAUCUGUUGGCAUCCCUACAGGUUCUAGUUCGUGCGGGGUGGUCGAGGAUCGUGACAGGGACAGCGCGCUAUAGAUAGCGACAUCCAUUGAGUAUAGUUGUACCUUAUUUAUUUCAUCUGUUUAUAGUUGAUGAAAGUAAAUGUAAAUUAUUCAUUUGAGAGUUGGCAGUGUAUAUAUUGGAAGAAUGAAUGUAAUAAUUAUGUAAGCUUUGUAUUUGAUUUAAAGUAAUCAAGAUAUAAUGUACGAAUGUUUUAGUUA